UUGGGUUAAGUCCGUAACCGAGCGCAACCCUUGUCCUUAGUUACCAGCACGUUAUGUGGGCGACUCUAAGGAGACUGCCGGUGACAAACCGGAGGAAGGUGGGGAGUGACGUCAAGUCAUCAUGGCCCUUACGGCCUGGGCUACACACGUGCUACAAUGGUCGGUACAAAGGGUUGCCAAGCCGCGAGGUGGAGCUAAUCCCAUAAAACCGAAUCGUAGUCCGGAUCGCAGUCUGCAACUCGACUGCGUGAAGUCGGAAUCGCUAGUAAUCGUGAAUCAGAAUGUCACGGUGAAUACGUUCCCGGGCCUU
rnacentral:rRNA from 1 species